rnacentral:rRNA from 1 species
UACGGGAGGCCUCGUAGUUGCGUGUAGGAGGAGCACAGGCUUUCCUUCCUCCACUACAGCCACCCAAUCAAGUAAUAGCCGGCGUACGGGUGAGUAAUAUGUAGGAAUCUGCCUCUAGGUCAAGGAAAAUCAUUCUGGAUGAGCCCUCCGUGACUCAAAGCGAAAGCGCCUAGAGAUGAGCCUAUGUCUGAUUAGGUAGUUGGUGUGGUAGAGCGCACCAAGCCGAUGAUCGGUAGUUGGUUUGAAAGAAUGCACUGAGACAAGGGUCAAGCCCCAUGUGGGGACUGCAGUGAGGAGUAUCGAACAAUCCGCGAAAGCGGGAUUCAGUGUGUUUCGUGAGUGAAAGAUAGAAGGCGCUUGUCGUAAAGCGCAAGAAGAUAAUUUCAACUAUGAUAUGAUUAUCGGAGUAGGGGAGGCAAAGACCAGUGCCAGCAGCCGCGGUAAUACUGGCUCCUCUAGUCUAUCUCAUGAUUAUUCGGUGUAAAGGGUGUGUAGGUGGUUUUUCACGUUUAAACUAAAAGACCAGGGCUUAACCUUGGGGAAAUGUUUAGAAACGGUAAAACUUGAGUGCAACAGGGGCUUUUAGAAUUCCAAGUGUAAUAAUAAAAUGUAUAAAUAUUUGGAGGAAUACCGAAGGGGAAGCCAAAUUUCUGGGUUGCAACUGACGCUGAGGCACGAAAGCUACGGGAGCAAAAUGGGUUAGAUACCCAAUUAGUCGUAGCCGUAAACGAUGGAAGUUACAUGUCGGUAAUCCGCAAGGAUGUAAGAUGGUAGCUACGACCUGCGAGGGUCGUAGCGUACACCCCCUGGGAGUCCCUUCUGGAUUUCCCCAGGGGGAUGUACGGUCCCUUGGACCUACGAUCCGAAGGAUGUACGGUUCCCGAAGGGGGACCUACGAUGGUAGAUCACUCGUAGAGUGAUCGUACAUCCCCCUUCGGGGGAUCCGAAAGGAGGUUUGU